AACGAACGCUGGCGGCAUGCCUAACACAUGCAAGUCGAACGAAGCCUUCGGGCUUAGUGGCGCACGGGUGCGUAACGCGUGGGAAUCUGCCCCUCGGUUCGGAAUAACGGUUAGAAAUGACUGCUAAUACCGGAUGAUGACGAAAGUCCAAAGAUUUAUCGCCGAGGGAUGAGCCCGCGUAGGAUUAGCUUGUUGGUGGGGUAAUGGCCCACCAAGGCGACGAUCUUUAGCUGGUCUGAGAGGAUGAUCAGCCACACUGGGACUGAGACACGGCCCAGACUCCUACGGGAGGCAGCAGUGGGGAAUAUUGGACAAUGGGCGAAAGCCUGAUCCAGCAAUGCCGCGUGAGUGAUGAAGGCCUUAGGGUUGUAAAGCUCUUUUACCAGGGAUGAUAAUGACAGUACCUGGAGAAUAAGCUCCGGCUAACUCCGUGCCAGCAGCCGCGGUAAU
rnacentral:rRNA from 1 species